rnacentral:rRNA from 1 species
GAUCCUGGCUCAGGACGAACGCUGGCGGCGUGCCUAAUACAUGCAAGUAGAACGCUGAAGAGAGGAGCUUGCUCUUCUUGGAUGAGUUUCGAACGGGUGAGUAACGCGUAGGUAACCUGCCUUGUAGCGGGGGAUAACUAUUGGAAACGAUAGCUAAUACCGCAUAACAAUGGACGACACAUGUCAUUUAUUUGAAAGGGGCAAUUGCUCCACUACAAGAUGGACCUGCGUUGUAUUAG